GACGAACGCUGGCGGCGUGCUUAACACAUGCAAGUCGAACGGAAAGGCCCUGCUUUUGUGGGGUGCUCGAGUGGCGAACGGGUGAGUAACACGUGAGUAACCUGCCCUUGACUUUGGGAUAACUUCAGGAAACUGGGGCUAAUACCGGAUAGGAGCUCCUGCUGCAUGGUGGGGGUUGGAAAGUUUCGGCGGUUGGGGAUGGACUCGCGGCUUAUCAGCUUGUUGGUGGGGUAGUGGCUUACCAAGGCUUUGACGGGUAGCCGGCCUGAGAGGGUGACCGGCCAGAUUGGGACUGAGAGACGGCCCAGACUCCUACGGGAGGCAGCAGUGGGGAAUAUUGCACAAUGGGCGGAAGCCAGAUGCAGCAACGCCGCGUGCGGGAUGACGGCCUUCGGGUUGUAAACCGCUUUCGCCUGUGACGAAGCGUGAGUGACGGUAAUGGGUAAAGAAGCACCGGCUAACUACGUG
rnacentral:rRNA from 1 species